AGUGAACGCUGGCGGUAGGCCUAACACAUGCAAGUCGAACGGAAGCACAGUAAGCGCUUGCUCUUACGGGUGGCGGCGGGCGGGCGGGUGAGGAAUACAUCGGCAUCUACUUUUUCGUGGGGGAUAACGGAGGGAAACUUAUGCUAAUGGCUAAUACGUCCUACGGCUGAAAUCAGGAGUUAUUCAGACUUUUCGCGUUUCAAUGAGAUGAUGUCGGAUUAGCGAGUUGGCUGGGUAAAGGCCCACCAAGGCGAGGAUCCGUAGCUGACCUGAGAGGAUGAUCAGCCACACUGGAACUGAGACACGGUCCAGACUCCUACGGGAGGCAGCAGUAGGGAAUAUUGGACAAUGGGCGCAAGCCUGAUCCAGCCAUACCGCGUGGGUGAAGAAGGCCUUCGGGUUGUAAAGCUCUUUUGUUGGGAAAGAAAAGCAGCAGGUGAAUACCCCGCUGUUCUGACGGUACCCAAAGAAUAAGCAACGGCUAACUUCGUG
rnacentral:rRNA from 1 species